rnacentral:snoRNA from 1 species
AGCAUUUAUAUGGACAAAGACUAACAGACACGUGCAAAAAAUAAAUCUUCUUUUGCAACCCUGAGCUCAUUGUUCAGUAAGAAUGUUGAUACAUAUAAGAAGGACUAUU